UAGAAAUCAGAAACCCUAAUUUGAAAUCAAACGAUUUUGAAAUGGAAAUUUGGGGAAAACACUUAAAACAUCAAAUAUAACAUAGACCCAGCAUAGAUCCAGGAAAAUAAGCAAAGAAAGAACUUCGAAUAGUUUAGGGUUUCUCAGAAAUCCUAGAAACCAGAAAGGAUUGGAAGAACAAGAUCAGAUCUCGAGCCGAAGUGGUCAGGAAUCAAGCUUCCAGUGCUUGAAUAUGCUGGAAC
rnacentral:lncRNA from 1 species